rnacentral:rRNA from 1 species
CACAUGCAAGUCGAGCGGAAACGACACUAACAAUCCUUCGGGUGCGUUAAUGGGCGUCGAGCGGCGGACGGGUGAGUAAUGCCUAGGAAAUUGCCUUGAUGUGGGGGAUAACCAUUGGAAACGAUGGCUAAUACCGCAUAAUGCCUACGGGCCAAAGAGGGGGACCUUCGGGCCUCUCGCGUCAAGAUAUGCCUAGGUGGGAUUAGCUAGUUGGUGAGGUAAUGGCUCACCAAGGCGACGAUCCCUAGCUGGUCUGAGAGGAUGAUCAGCCACACUGGAACUGAGACACGGUCCAGACUCCUACGGGAGGCAGCAGUGGGGAAUAUUGCACAAUGGGCGAAAGCCUGAUGCAGCCAUGCCGCGUGUAUGAAGAAGGCCUUCGGGUUGUAAAGUACUUUCAGUUGUGAGGAAGGGGGUAGCGUUAAUAGCGCUAUCUCUUGACGUUAGCAACAGAAGAAGCACCGGCUAACUCCGUGCCAGCAGCCGCGGUAAUACGGAGGGUGCGAGCGUUAAUCGGAAUUACUGGGCGUAAAGCGCAUGCAGGUGGUUCAUUAAGUCAGAUGUGAAAGCCCGGGGCUCAACCUCGGAACUGCAUUUGAAACUGGUGAACUAGAGUACUGUAGAGGGGGGUAGAAUUUCAGGUGUAGCGGUGAAAUGCGUAGAG